rnacentral:rRNA from 1 species
AGUGAACGCUGGCGGUAGGCCUAACACAUGCAAGUCGAACGGCAGCACAGUAAGAGCUUGCUCUUACGGGUGGCGAGUGGCGGACGGGUUAGGAAUACAUCGGAAUCUACUUUUUCGUGGGGGAUAACGUAGGGAAACUUACGCUAAUACCGCAUACGACCUACGGGUGAAAGCAGGGGAUCUUCGGACCUUGCGCGAUUGAAUGAGCCGAUGUCGGAUUAGCUAGUUGGCGGGGUAAAGGCCCACCCAGGCGACGGUCCGUAGCUUGUCUGAGAGGAUGAUCAGCCACACUGGAAGUGAGACACGGUACAGACUCCUACGGGAGGCAGCAGUGGGGAAUAUUGGACAAUGGGCGCAAGCCUGAUCCAGCCAUACCGCGUGGGUGAAGAAGGGCUUCGGGUUGUAAAGCCCUUUUGUUGGGAAAGAAAAGCAGCAGGUUAAGACCCCGCUGUUCUGACGGUACCCAAAGAAUAAGCACCGGCUAACUUCGU